rnacentral:rRNA from 1 species
AUUGAACGCUGGCGGCGUGCUUAACACAUGCAAGUCGAACGGAGUGGCGACCGGGUGAGUAACACGUGGGUGACCUGCCCUGCACUUCGGGAUAAGCCUGGGAAACUGGGUCUAAUACCGGAUAGUGUGGGAUGGGCCCGCGGCCUAUCAGCUCGUUGAUUGGGUAAUGGCCUACGAAGGCGGCGACGGGUAGCCGGCCUGAGAGGGUGUACGGCCACAUUGGGACUGAGACACGGCCCAGACUCCUACGGGAGGCAGCAGUGGGGAAUAUUGCACAAUGGGCGGAAGCCUAAUGCAGCGACGCCACGUGGGGGGUGACGGCCUUCGGGUUGUAAACUCCUUUCACCAUCGACGCGGUAGAUGGAGGAGAAGCACCGGCUAACUACGUGCCAGCAGCCGCGGUAAUUC